AUUUGUGGAGUGGCUGCUGGAGACCAGCCCUGUUCAGGACACUGCUGGGAACACGGCGGUGAUGACAGCCCCAGCCCUGGCCUCUGGGCCAAAGUGGUCCAGCAGGAGCUGCAGACUAAGCGAUUCUGUGAUUUCACAUUGAAUCAGGAAGCGCAGAGGUGGUCACUACAGGAAGCAAAAGUGCAGAACCCAGGAAGCCAUCAGACAACGAAACCUGACCUAGUAUCAGGGUGGCUGAAACUUGGGCAAACACCAGAAGGAUGAAAGAGAUUAGAGAACAGAAAGGAAAUCUUUAUGCGGUCAUAGGCUGGUUCUCCAGGCAGUGUCGGUACCUGAAUCCGAUCAAGGAGGUUCACCCAGGGGAAAACUGUAGUGAGUCAAUGACGGGGACUCGGCUGUGGAGAUGGAUGGCUGGCAAAAGAAAAGGACAGAAGCAAAGAGAAAAACACAAACAAAACACCCACCACCGCCGCCACACCGACAACGGAAAAGCAAGAAAAGGAAAAGAACAACGAAAAAGGAACAUGGGUGAGCACCGUAGAGUCAGCCAAGGUAAUGGGGCAGAGUUCAUUGACUGAAUGCAGCGUUUUGUCUCUGCAGUGGAAAUCUCUCAUGCCAUCUUGGCGUUCAAGUUAGUGCCCAGCUGAUUUCUCCUAUGUUGUAAGACAGCAGUUAUCAAACAUAAUCCUUGGUUUCCUCAGACGGAUAACUUUGAAGUAGAGUGUUGAGGUCGAGUAAGAGAGGGUUUGGAGCGUGUUUCGACCCAGGUCUCUGCUGUAUCCCCUAAAACUUUCUCCACAUGGAGUUUGGUCCAUGCAGUUCUGUGCCCUUUAUGGACUUCAAUUCUCACCUCAGAUCUUUUCUGGGUCCCUGGACCCUCCUCUCUCUUUCUUCUCCUCCUCAAGCUGCUACACUCCCGUGUCAGGACACCAAAUCUCAGAGAGGCUCUUUCUCCGCUGUGCACCAGUCUGCCAUCUUCCAGGCCAAUGUUUGGUUUUUGAACCAGGAGAUUAUAUUGUAUUGCUCAACUAAUUCUUUUACUAGCUGUUAAAACCAUAGUUAUUAGCUGAGAAACUAAAGGAUUUAGUGGCACCCCCUAUAAGGGAUGAUUUUUCACUCAAGAUAUCACAAAAUCAUCAGAAAAUUGUUACCCCAAAGAUCAGAAUUGGUUGCUGUGAUUGCCAUACUAGAAUGUACCUUGGCAGAACCUGUUAACAUUGUAUGCUACUCCACCUCUAUAGCUAAUAUCACUAAUUUAGAGCCAGCCACUCUAAAAAGUACUUUAGAUCCCCCUCAGUUUCAUUUGUUUGUGUGAUUGCAGGCAACCAUUCAGAAUAGGACUGCUUCCUUUUAUAAGGUCAUGUGUGUUCACACUCUGGGCUUCCUGGACCAGUGGCAGAAGGAAAUCGUCACACAAAUAGACUCACUGCUUUGAUUUUUUCAACAAGCGAGGCUUUCGCACUCUGAUUUCUAUCAAAGUACGCCAAAACUCUCCAGAUCACAGGAUGCCACAUUGUACAGUCUUGUCCAACAAGCCGAACUGCACCUACAUCAAUUCCAUCAGAAGGCUGUAAUUCCCGAGGCAUCCAGUCAAGUGAGGUAUAUGGCAAAGGGACGUAACACAUAUAUUCUAAUUUGGCAGCCUUCAUUAUGUGCAUGUUAGUAUAGAUACUUAUUCUCAUUUUUUGCAUGCUAUUCACCACGCGGGCAAGACUGUAGGGCAUAUACAGCAACAUUGUCUCUUGUCAUUUGCAAAGGUGAGAGUUCCUAAGAAAAUAAUAAUAGCCCUGCCUACCCCAGCGGGAGUUUUCAAAAUUUUUUGCAGCCAUGAAAUGUUA
ensembl:lincRNA